rnacentral:lncRNA from 1 species
UAUUGUCCGCUCUGGGCCGUGGCCAAGCCCGCACGGAUUUGCUUUCGGGCUCCUCCCAAAAGGCCUCAUACUAAUGGAGUUCUUUGGCUGCUUAUAUUCAAGAUAAACCUUCUUUAUCUUUCCGAUGUGGGACUUGGGUUGAACCCACUCAACAAUCUCCCCUCAAUCCAAGAACCACUAAUCUUGUGACCCUCGUACCGCCGCUAUUUAUCCGUUUCUCAUCUUGCGGGACACGCCGUCCGACUACCUUUGUCGGAAAGACUUUCGACACAAGCCGUCCAAGACCUCCUAUCAUAGUUCUGGAGAGCCUCCCCACAUCACACAACUACAGCCUGCAACCUCGGGAUCGACUUCUUAACC